GUGGAGGCUAUAUACAGGGGUACCGGUACAGAGUCAAUGUGGAGGCUAUAUACAGGGGGUACCGGUACAGAGUCAAUGUGGAGGCUAUAUACAGGGGGUACCGGUACAGAGUCAAUGUGGAGGCUAUAUACAGGGGUACCGGUACAGAGUCAAUGUGGAGGCUAUAUACAGGGGGUACCGGUACAGAGUCAAUGUGGAGGUUAUAUACAGGGGGUACCGGUACAGAGUCAAUGUGGAGGCUAUAUACAGGGUGUACCAGUACAGAGUCAAUGUGGAGGCUAUAUACAGGGGGUAACGGUACAGAGACAAUGUGGAGGCUAUAUACAGGGGUACUGGUACAGAGUCAAUGUGGAGGCUAUAUACAGGGGGUACCGGUACAGAGUCAAUGUGGAGGCUAUAUACAGGGGGUACCGGUACAGAGUCAAUGUGGAGGCUAUAUACAGGGG
ensembl:lncRNA